UGGCGCUCGGCGGCCCCCACCCCCGGCGCGGGCUGCGGCGGAGGGCGGGGCGCGGCGCGGGGAGCGGAGCCGAGAGCGGGAGCGCAGGGAGGCUCUUUGUUCUGUAAUCCCAGUAAGAUUGCCAGCCAUUCGCCCCGGCCCUAAUCCCAGCCCCGCGCAACACCACCCUCCAUUGGCUGCCAUUUACAUACGGGAUUAGCCCGCCCGGCCCGCCCCGCGCCCCGGCCUGGGCACCGCGGGGGGAGCGCCGCGCCCCCGCCCCGCCCCCGGCGCCCCGAGCGCGCGCCGCCCCAGCGCCCGCCGCCAGGGGGGCCUGCGGGAGGGGCGCCCGCGGCCUCGGCGCCCCCUGGCUGCCCGGCGACGCCCCUCCGCCUCCCCAGCGCCCCGUCAGGGGCGGAUUAGGAAGCCGGGACGCGGGGUUCCCGGGGCGCAGGGUCAAGGUCACUCAGCGGGCGCGGGGAGACACCCUGGAGCAGGGCCCGGCGCCCUGCGCGGCGGAGGCAGCGGCGGCGGUGGAGAACCGAAGUCGUCGGCUGACUGGUCACUCCCACCUUGCCCAGGUUGGCUUCCGGUGGCCGGUCCAGGUACCUCUUUCAGCCUUUGUCCCCGGGGAUGUGAAGGAAGGCAGUGGCCUGCCCAAGGUCGCAGCAGAUCCAGCUGGAGGCUCCAAGGCCCAUCUUGCCUGGGCAGCCCUCCUUCUGAUCCCCGACUCAGGCGUUUGCCACCCCCUUCCCCUACCAUACCAGCCGUCCUACGGAAUCAGGGAGCACACCUCUCAUCCUGUCCAAAGCCGCGCAUCUUCAUUCAGUAGAGGGAGUGGUGCCCCGAGCCCCGUGCUGGGCCCUUGCUAUGCUGGGCACUCCUGGGAGGGACACGAGGCAGGCAGGCCCCAACCCCAGGGAACCCCUGGCCUAGAUGGAGAGAGCCAGAUGGAGAUUGAGAACCUUCGAGGUCCCAGCAAAGCCCACGGAGUCUUCCCCCAACCUCCUUGGGGCCCUGCUGGGCGCACAGCGGGCACUUGGUAAAGGAUAAACUUGGCUGGGCAGGUCUAGCCCACAAGCCCAUCAGACAGAGCUUUUUUGGGGCAGGCCAGGUCCACAGUGCCCAGCCCAAGGCCAAGCCCAGAGGGGCCCCUGGUGCCCAGAACGCCUUGCCCACGGUGUUGGUCAGAGGAGUGGGAGUGAGGAAUGAGGCCACAGAAGCCCCCUUCAUCACACACUGCCUUUUGCCCUCUCGGGGGUACCUCCCUAUCCCCCUCAUCACCAGAAGGCCUGGGGGACAUCCUGACACCCUGUUGUUGUACUGGCCUCGUUUUACAAUGAGGGGAGGUGACCCGUUUAGGGACAUACAGCAUGUGCAUGGCGCGGCUGGGACUGUCUCCAUAGCCCCCGUUGAGCCCACUGGCCUACGGUCCAUCCAUCCAACUGCAAUGGUGGUAAGGCGUGGCCUCAGUGGGACCAGCUGGGGCAAACUGGUCAGGAGGGGCUGGCUGGGCUGUUGGUUUCUAGGGAGAAUGCUUUCCAGACCCCCAAGUCCUGGGGCAGAGUGCCGGAAGCCUGUGUGCCCCAGGGCCUGGAGGAGCUGAGAGGCCUGGUGGGGAGGGAGUACCGGUGUGUGCUCACUACUGCCCUCUGCAGGCAGAAUCCAGAGCAGCAAUAAUGCGAGUGGGGUGUUGCUGACGGAUGCCCUCUUCCAACCUCUGGGCUGUUCUUCCCCGUCCAGAACAGCCAGUCUGCCCCCAACCUUGCCCAGGCAGACUGGGGGGCAGCGGGCCACAGCAGAAGGCCUUGGCCCGGCACGUCUAGGCCCUGCCCCGCUACGUGUGACUAGGGUAUGACCCCUGGCUUCACAUUCAUUAACUGUAUGUCCUAGGCCAAGGCGAUUGCCCUCUCUGGGCCUCAGCUUCCUGAUCUGUAAUAUGGAGCCAAGGUACUCCUUUCUCUGUGUGAUGAUUGGGAGGGCUGAAUGACAUGUGCCACAGGGGAGAUGCUUAGUGUAGUGCCUGCUGGGUAGUAGGUACUCGGCAGGGAGUAGUUCUCAAUUUUUUAAUUUGUUGGCUUCUUCUAGGGGCAAAGCCCCACUCAGAGUCUUGCUGGACCGGGUCUUCCUGCGGAGGUGAGGAUUCUAAGGACAAGGUCAGGGGCAUUCCAUUUUUGUCAAGUUCGGUUCCUUCCCUGGAGAAGGGCAGCAGGAGUUCCCUCAGUUGGGAGGGGAGUUAGGUUGAGAAGUCUUUGCUGGUGGCUGCUCCCCGCCUAUAGGAGCCUCCACUGGCCUCACCCUCCCUCAGGCCUGGCUGCAUCCCUGUCCUACACAGAUGUGGAAACUGAGGCUGCUCUCACUGCCUUCCCCUUCAUAACCUGGAAGUCAAGGACUCCUUCCAUCACAAAGCCUCUUCCGUGCCCUCGUUCAUCCCACCUUCCUGACAACCCUUCCGGCAGGUGGACCUGACAAUCCCCAUUUCACAGAUGGGAACGUAAGAUGCCAGGGCAUCUGCGGAAAGCAUGCCUCCUGUUCCAUCGUGGAAAUCAAAGGGAAAAUAAGAUUCAGUGUAUGGAACGUGCAGGACCCAUAGAACCCGUAGCCCAGAUGGUAAAUGUUAUCCCUACCGGCCAGGGUGCUCAGGUGAUAUGGGGGCCGCAUGGCACCAAAGGGUAGCUGAUGGGCUUGCUUGGGGACCUCCAAAUCCUCCCCCCGCCUCCCAAGGCGGGCCAUCCCCCAGGUCACCAGCAGCAAUUCUUUUCAUUCCCAAAUCUUUCUUUCCGUGGCUUAUCCAGGCCACCAAGGACAAAGAUCAUUUCCUUCUCUGGGGUAUUUGAUCCGUAGAGUCACCUCUCAGAGUCCUCCGAGGCUUCCGGACCCCAACAAAAUAGAGCCCACAUUCUGGGAUUUCAGGCACCGAAGCUGGCAAGCUGGGGUGGGAAGCCAGGAGGUCUUCCGCGAGGACACGGGCAGAUCUGCGCUUCAGCCUCCCAGGCCCCAGGGUUUGGCCCUGGUAAGUAGUCUGGGGCAGCGCUGGCCAACAGAAAUAGAACGCGAGCCACAAAUGCACACCGCAGAGGAAAUUUUAAAUUUCCUCGUAGUUUGCAAAAAUGAGAAAGGAACAGGUGAGAUUAAUUUUAACGAUAUAUUUUAUGUAACCUGACAUAUCCAAAUUGUAUUCGUUUGAGCACGUAAUAAUAUUUUUAAAGACUGAGAUGUUUUCCGUCCUUUCCCUCGUACGAAGUCUUCGAUACCCAAUGUCUGUUGUAACACAACACAUCUCAGUUUGGACAAGACAGGCUUUCAUAUGUGGCUGGCGGCUAAGGGGUCACCUGGAAGCGUGGUCUCAGCUCGCUGCUGAUUUGGAAGAUCCUGGGCCUCAGGUUCCUCGCCUCGUGUGCCUGUGAAAGGUGCAGGUCCGGGCCCUUCCAGGAGAUGUGUUGGCUCAGACACUGGCCGGGUGGGAGAGAGGCCCGGGGACUUUGCACUGCUAACCCUAACCCUAACCCUGGCUCUUGUGAUACAAGGUCAAGUUUAGGGAGCGCCGUUCAAGCUCUGGUGUCUCUGAUUUAACCACACUCAGCCACGCAGUACUGGCUCACUGCCACGUCCCUUGUGCCACGGGGCACUUGGUGCUGGCUCUCUGUCACAGGCCUGGCAUCUGCCUGGAUCAGACUGGCCCUGAGAUGGGAGGGCCUGGGUUGUAUACCAAUGCACCCUGUCUGUACUGGAUAUCGUGCAGACCCACACCCUGAACCUGGGGGCUCUGGGCCGGCAGCUGUGGUGUGUGCAGCAAUGAGCCAGAGGGGGCAUCCACCUCAGUCUGAGGCCAUGCCCCUGACCCCAUGGGGAAUAGGGAACCAAGCAGACGGCCCCCUCCGGCCCCCGUGCCAAAGGCCCACUGGGCCAGGGCCUCGGGGCUCGCUAAAAUAUUUCUCUCCCACCUCGGGAUUUUCUGGGAACCCAGGGUCCUCACCCCCAGGAGAAGGGUCCCUCCUGGCCCCCCCCACCAGUCUUCCAAAACCCUCUUCCCCCAAAAGAGGGGUCUGUCCAGGCCUUGGAGUCAGAUUUUAGCUUUUGCGUCGUGGAAGGAAAGCUGGCCUUUGCACAGUGUCCUGAACCCAGUGCCCUGCCUGUCCCCCACGGGGCCAGCCCCUCUUCCGGUAGGUCUCAGCCUUCCUGACCUCACCGGCCAGGCUGCCCGCCUAAGUGCCCUCAGGCACUCUUGAGUCCUCGGCCCGGUUGAUUUUACUCUGGGUGAUGCUUAUUUGCUCCCCGUUGGAUUCACCCAUUCAACCCAAAGCUCAGGUAAGGGAGGAGGUGGGACGGACACUGUCAAGCACCCUGGCCAGUGAGUGUACAAACGUCUGCGAAAUGAAUGAAUGGAUCGACACGGGCCUCCUCUGUCUACUGUCAGGUGCCUCGUUGAUCUCUGUUUUCUCCCUGUAUGUUUCUCUCCAUCUGUUUGUUGCUGUCUUUGUAGGUCGCUCUCUUCAACACUACCCCUCGCUCUCUGCACCCCCCUACCUCACGCCUCCUCUCUCUGCCUCCUCCUCCGACUCUCCGCUGGAAUCUGUCAAGAACAGAGAGAGGCAUGUAAUUGAGUUGGGGCCGUCUCCAUGGCUGCAGCCGUGGAGUAACUGAAAGAUCAAUUCGGAAAGACUGUCUCUGUAAUAAUUGCGCCUUAAUAGUUUCUGCGCGGCAGAGUGGGGCUUGGUGUGAGGCUGUCAGGACAACCUCGGGACCCUGGCAGGAAAAGGCCACCUGGAGCCCCCCCCCCCACCCGCCUCGCCACCCCCCUGCAGCCACCGUAUCCCUGGGCCAGGCUCUGGAGGGGACUUGGCCUCAGCCAGAAACAGGAGGGGAGUGGGAGCAGGGGAGACAGGCCGGUCUCACCCUGCCCACACACACAGCUGUCCCUGCCCCCUGCUCUUACCCACUGUGCCCCGCUCCUGUUUAUAAUUUAUGCUUAUGAUCGGAAUUAUCAGCAAUAAUGAUAACAUGAUUAUAAUUGCCAAGC